rnacentral:rRNA from 1 species
UCGGAUCAGGUAGGGAAGCUGGGCCCC